CCUCCUUCCCAUCCUUAGAAACUCUAAGAUUUUUUCAUUUGCCCAAUUGGGAGAAAUGGUUAUGUUGUGGAUGCAGACAUGGAGAAUUCCCUCGUCUUCAGGAGCUUUAUAUAAUCCAAUGUCCCAGACUCACUGGGAAAUUACCAAAACAGCUUCGAUCAUUGAAGAAACUAAAAAUUAUUUCUUGUCCACAACUACAUAUGGCUUCACUCAGAGUUCCUUCGAUCAGUGAAUUGGUGAUGAUUGACUAUGGUAAAUUGCAGUUGAAAAGGCCAGCUGGUGGCUUUACUUCUCCUAUUCAAACUUCAGACAUCUCUCAGUGGAAGCAACUACCAGCGGGAUUGCGGCACCUCCAAAUUAUAAAAUGUGACUCUGUAGAGACCUUGCUAGAGGAGAGAACCUUGCAAACCAACAAUUGUUUUCUGAAAUUCUUGGUAAUCAACACUGCACAUUUACAGGUCUACCAAACUAGACUUUCUCCUACCUGAGUUGUUCAAAUGCCACCUCCCAUUCCUAGAACAGUUUUGGAUACGUUAUAGUAGCUGUGAAUCUCUCUCAUUAUCCUUCUCAUUAGGAGCCUUCCCCAGGCUGACUCAUCUAAUAAUUGAUGGUCUUGAGGGGCUUGAAAACCUGUCGAUUUGGGUUCUUGAGGGGGACCUCACAUCUCUUGGUUUCUUGAAGAUUCACAAUUGCCCUGAUCUUGUAUUUACUGAAUUGCCAGCUCUCAAUUCGGCAUGCUAUCAGAUCUGGGGGUGCUCGAAGCUCGAGUUGUUGGCGCAUAACUCUUCAUCUUUGAAGAGAUUGAUUUUAAAGCGCUGUCCAGAAUUGUUGUUUCAGAGAGGAGGUCUGCCCUCCAAUCUAUGUGCACUUGAAAUUUGGGACUGCGACAAACUCACACCCCUGGUGGAAUUGGGUUUGCAAAUGUUGGUCUCUCUCACACAUUUCACAUUCAAAGGUGGAUGGGAAGAGUUGGAGUCAUUGCCCAAGGAUUGCCCACUGCCCUCCACACUUACCACUCUUAAACUCGAAAUGUUUCAGAUCUCAAGUCUCUGGACGGCAUGGGGCUCCAACAACUUACCUCUCUCACAAACUUAUCCAUCUACUACUGCCCUGAGCUCCACUCCUUUGGGAAAGAGGGGCUUCAACAUCUCACCUCUCUUGAAGAAUUGCAGAUCAGUGGUUGCCCUGCCCUCCUGUACUUAAUAGGGUCUGGUCUUCAACACCUCGCCUCUCUCAAACAAUUAUACAUCAAUGACUGCCCUAGGCUUCAGUCCUUGACAGAAGUGGGUCUUCAAAGCUAUGCCUCUCUUAAAAAGCUACAUAUUUCAUUCUGCCCUGAGCUCCAAUCCUUGACACAAGUGGGUCUUCAACAUUUCACGUCUCUUGAAGAAUUAUGCGUCUCCUACUGCCCCAAGCUUCAAUUGCUUGAAAUACAAAAAUGCCCUUUGCUGGAACAUCGGUGCCGAUUUGAGAAAGGUGAAGAUUGGUGUCAUAUAGCUCACAUUCCACGUAUAGUGAUAGAUGGUGUGCUAUUCUAAUGAAGGUGGAACUGCAUGAAUGCAAGGUGAGGCCGUGCUUCACUCUCAUUAUGGUACCGAUCGCAGCUUACAUCUUGUCUUACAUACUUCUAAGAUGGAUUGAUGUUUACAUUGUGCAUAUGCUCAACAUCUCUACAGUUUGUGUUCUGAUUUCUUGCCAAAGAAUCCUGAGGGCCAUCUCUGAUUAUCAAGUUUCAGAAUGGUGCAGAGCAUGCUCUACUUAUUUUUUUUAAGAGGCUUUUUCUUAAGCUAGAUCAUCAGAAGUUGCAACAAAGAUAAAAAGAAAGGGAAGCUCAACCACAGGCGGAGAGGAAAUCAAUGGUAUCAGUCAUUGCAAGAAUCUCAGGUCACCCUGCACACUCCAGUACUUGCCUGUCCACCUGCCUCUCCUUUCUCAAUAUAAAGAACUGUCUAGGGCUAAUGGACCUCCCUCAGUAUUGUUUUCCAUGGGCUAAUGCAUUGAGAAUACAUGGCCGGCUUUCCCUUGAACCGCUUAUGAUUAUCAGUUCUAAGAGGCUGCAUGACUCUCUUUUGGGUGUGUAACAACAGACACAUACACUACCUUCUCAUCCCAACACUUCUCACAAGAUGGGUGCAGAGCAUGCUCUGUUUCUUUGAUUUAAGAUUAAUUCUGAAGCUGGGAGUCUGGAACAAAGAUAGAAGAAGAGAAGGGAAGAUUGACUUGAGGUAGCUUUUGGUUUAUACACAUUUGGUUAAAAAUAUUCUUUUAGCAAUUUGAGAACACAACCACUCUUCAUAUUUCUAAGACUUGUUCUGCGCAUGUUAAUUAUUUUGAUUUUUUCUGGGUGCAACUCUAUUUCUAGUGUUACAAAGCAAGUGCAUGAAGCAGCCCCAUAGAUUUGUUUACUUGA